GACGAACGCUGGCGGCGUGCCUAAUACAUGCAAGUAGAACGCUGAAGAGAGGAGCUUGCUCUUCUUGGAUGAGUUGCGAACGGGUGAGUAACGCGUAGGUAACCCGCCUUGUAGCGGGGGAUAACUAUUGGAAACGAUAGCUAAUACCGCAUAACAAUGGAUGACACAUGUCAUUUAUUUGAAAGGGGCAAUUGCUCCACUACAAGAUGGACCUGCGUUGUAUUAGCUAGUAGGUGAGGUAAUGGCUCACCUAGGCGACGAUACAUAGCCGACCUGAGAGGGUGAUCGGCCACACUGGGACUGAGACACGGCCCAGACUCCUACGGGAGGCAGCAGUAGGGAAUCUUCGGCAAUGGGGGCAACCCUGACCGAGCAACGCCGCGUGAGUGAAGAAGAUUUUCGGAUCGUAAAGCUCUGUUGUAAGUCAAGAACGGGUGUGAGAGUGGAAAGUUCACACUGUGACGGUAGCUUACCAGAAAGGGACGGCUAACUACGUG
rnacentral:rRNA from 1 species